ACCGAUGUUUCAGUUGUAAAAAAUAAAAUACAGAGUUUCGGUAGAUUGAAUUACCGAUCAACUCUGUUCUAAGUAAAUGUCCUGCACUUGUCAAAACAUUAACCGAUCACUCAGUAAAAAUAAAUUCACUUUACUGAACACCUGGUAAAACAAGUACCGAGUUAUCAGUUCUCGACCAGGUACCGCAUGUUUCGACGCCAUAUUUAUUUGCGAGUCAGAACGAGUUUGUUUCAGUCGAGAUUAAUGCUACCGGUGGAAAUUUUGCUUUAUUGGAUAUUCAGGACAAAUAUGUUUAAAAUGUAUCAUCAGCUGGCACAGUCCCUACUGCUAUCUCCAACAUGCGUUGUGCCGAUUUUAUGGAACUCGAUCUAUAAUAAGACAUCAGAUAUAAUAAAACGAAUGAGGUUCCCUGCGUCCAUCUUGGUGAUAGCUUCCUGGGCGAUAAUGGAAUUGCGCUAGUGCUACAGCAAUGAGACAGCAGCAAACAUAUUUUGUACAAAGUUUUCUGACUCUAAAAAACAAUAAUAAAUAUAAAAG